rnacentral:rRNA from 1 species
UACGUAGGGUGCAAGCGUUGUCCGGAAUUAUUGGGCGUAAAGAGCUCGUAGGCGGUUCGUCGCGUCGGCUGUGAAAUCCCGAGGCUCAACCUCGGGUCUGCAGUCGAUACGGGCGGACUGGAGUUCGGCAGGGGAGACUGGAAUUCCUGGUGUAGCGGUGAAAUGCGCAGAUAUCAGGAGGAGCACCGGUGGCGAAGGCGGGUCUCUGGGCCGAUACUGACGCUGAGGAGCGAAAGCGUGGGGAGCGAACAGG